rnacentral:rRNA from 1 species
GAGUGUAGGAGAGUCGAUGGAUUCCAUGUGUAGCGGUGAAAUGCGUAUGUAUAUGGAGGAACACCAGUGGCGAAGGCGGUCGACUGGUCUAUCACUGACGUUUACUGCGAAAGCGUAGGAGCAAAUAGGAUUAAAUACCCUAGUAGUCUACGCCGUAAACGAUGAAUACUAAGUGUUGGACUAAUUUCGGUGCUGCAGCUAAGGCAUUAAAUACUCCGCCUGACCUAUAUGCUCGCUAGAGUGAAACUCAUGAGAAUUGACGUCGACCCCCUUCGCCCCUGGUGUUCC